rnacentral:rRNA from 1 species
UACCAGCACCCCGAGUGGUCGGGACGAUUAUUGGGCCUAAAGCAUCCGUAGCCGGUUCUACAAGUCUUCCGUUAAAUCCACCUGCUUAACAGAUGGGCCGCGGAGGAUACUACAGAGCUAGGAGGCAGGAGAGGCAAGCGGUACUCAGUGGGUAGGGGUAAAAUCCGUUGAUCCAUUGAAGACCACCAGUGGCGAAGGCGGCUUGCCAGAAUGCGCUCGACGGUGAGGGAUGAAAGCUGGGGGAGCAAACCGG